CUAAUGCUGUCCUGCUCCUGGGAAGGUGGGUUUCCUCGAGCACUGGUGUGGUGGGCCUCUAGCUCAGGGGACAUGCAAGGCACAUCUGAGGAGAACGCAAACAUCCUGGUUUUGCGGUCAAGUGCUACAUACAGUGGCAAGGCUUUUGUAUGCCAUGCAAAACAUCCAUUGGCUAAGGAGACCAAACAGUGUGUUUUAAAACUAGGUAAGAAAGGGUCAAUCAUUAUUCUUGCAUCUGUAAAACAAUCCUUUAAAAACUGUCCUUUCUUACUGUCUUUAGAGGCACCAGUCCUAGUGACCCAGCGCAGUAUGAUGACCGUCUAUGAGGGCAGCGAUGCCCAACUCACCUGUAUCUUGAGUAGAAACUACCCUGUCACAGAGAUCACCUGGUUCAACAACCUGAAGCAGCAUGUGAACGAGAUUCCUAAGAAGUACGUCCUGGAGCGAGCUGCUGCCUGGACAAACUUGACAGUGCGGGAAACAGACAGCAACACAGACAGUGGCCAUUACUGGUGUUCAGCUACCAAUGCUGUCGGUGGGGCAGAGAUCCCCAUUAUGCUGAUGGUGAAGAGGUACCCAAUGCCCCCAAAUAUAAGCAUCAGUAAGAUCAUUUACAACAGUCGUCAAAGGACUGAUGUUGACCUAGAGUGGAAGCUCCAGACUGAGGGUAACCUUACCGGGUUUUUCAUCGAGCGCCAGAGGAUCCCUGAACCUGUGAAGAAAAGAAACAGUGGCCUUCCCUGGCAGAAACUGGCAGAUCUAGACCAUGAUUCCCGACACUACCAAAUCAACAAUCUGGAUCCCAUUGGAGCUUAUGCAUUUCGUGUUACUGCCAUCAACCACCGCACCAUUGGAAACCCUUCCGAGAUAAAGAGCGCAGGUGAGAACACUUACAAAGGCAUUGAAUAUCAGUGCAUAUCUAAACAUGGACAACAUAAUCAUUUACAUUGAAAUACCCAAAGAAGGCAGGAUAUAAUUUGAAGCUGUUAGAAAAUGUUUUAAGAUUGGAGUAUUUUUUUAUUGUUAUUGCAAAACAACAACCACUCACUGUAAAUCUAAUGCUGUUGUUUUUUGUUUUGUUGUCCAUUCAGGUGAAGUGCACAAUCACUUGACCACUUCCAUACCCACACAUCUCCCUUCUUCUGUUCCUUUCCUCUUACAUGAUCUGCCUGUUAACUUGCCCUUUGAUCUUUCCUGAGGUUAUUUUUCUACUCAUCUCAUUCUGUCCGAUAACUAAAGAAAGUGCGUAUAAUCGUAUAUGCUAAUGACGCUAAAACAACUAAUUAACCCAAGUGUUUAAUCUUUUUUCCACAAAAAACAGUAAUAUACAUUACAAUUGUACAAUAUUAUGUAGUAAGCUCUUAUGAUGUCCAAUUGCUAUGGUAAACUAUGCAAUUGUGACACUGAUUUUGUGAAGCUGAAAUAGGUAUACUGUCUUCCAGCCGACCCUCCCUUCAAUGCCUACCCAGCUGUGAUCGGGGCAGCCAUCGGGGGCAUGAUCAUAGCUACAAUAAUCACUGUACUGCUCUUCAUGUAUGUGGUACGGAACCGCAACAAUAACCCACGUGAGUUACGUAUCUUUAAUGUUUCAAGAAAUCAAAUAUUGGUUGGUUAACCCUGUAGCAUGGUUCCAUGUUAAUACCACUGUCACACUUUACAGGACUUCACGAC
ensembl:lncRNA